GAUCUGUUACUGCAUUUGUAGAUAAGGAGUCUACUUCCAAAAGAGAUCCUGAAGACAGCAAAUCAGCAAGGAAUUCUAAGGAAGGAACGUCAACUGUAGCGGGUAAGAAGAGUAAAAAACAUGUUGCCAUCACUCAAGUUGCUCCACUAGAGACAAUUAAUAAAUAUGGGAAGGACUCUGAUCAUGGAUUGGACAAAGAUAACAAACAUAAUAAGGAGUCUGCCUCCCAAAGAGAUCCUGAAGACAGCAAAUCUGAAAGGAAUUCUAAGG